CACUGCCGAGAAAAGCCUCUAGAUAGAAAAUAGGUGCCCGUACCGCAAACCGACACAGGUAGUCAAGAUGAGAAUUCUAAGGUGAGCGAGCGAACUCUCGUUAAGGAACUCGGCAAAAUGACCCCGUAACUUCGGGAGAAGGGGUGCUCUUUAGGGUUAACGCCCAGAAGAGCCGCAGUGAAUAGGCCCAAGCGACUGUUUAUCAAAAACACAGGUCUCUGCUAAACCGUAAGGUGAUGUAUAGGGGCUGACGCCUGCCCGGUGCUGGAAGGUUAAGAGGAGUGGUUAGCUUCUGCGAAGCUACGAAUCGAAGCCCCAGUAAACGGCGGCCGUAACUAUAACGGUCCUAAGGUAGCGAAAUUCCUUGUCGGGUAAGUUCCGACCCGCACGAAAGGCGUAACGAUUUGGGCACUGUCUCAACGAGAGACUCGGUGAAAUCAUAGUACCUGUGAAGAUGCAGGUUACCCGCGACAGGACGGAAAGACCCCGUGGAGCUUUACUGUAGCCUGAUAUUGAAAUUCGGCACAGCUUGUACAGGAUAGGUAGGAGCCUUUGAAACGUGAGCGCU
rnacentral:rRNA from 1 species